rnacentral:rRNA from 1 species
GUGCCUAACACAUGCAAGUCGAGCGGUAACAGGUGUAGCAAUACAUGCUGACGAGCGGCGAACGGGUGAGUAAUGCUUCGGAAUCUACCCAAUGGUGUGGAAUAACCAGCCGAAAGGUUGGCUAAUACCGCAUGAGCCCUACGGGGGAAAGCAGGGGAUCGUAAGACCUUGCGCCGAUGGAUGAGCCGAAGUCGGAUUAGCUAGUUGGUAGGGUAACGGCCUACCAAGGCGACGAUCCGUAGCUGGUCUGAGAGGACGACCAGCCACACUGGGACUGAGACACGGCCCAG